GAUGAACGCUGGCGGCGUGCCUAAUACAUGCAAGUCGAGCGAACAGACGAGGAGCUUGCUCCUCUGACGUUUGCGGCGCACGGGUGAGUAACACGUGGAUAACCUCCCUAUAAGACUGGGAUCAUUUCGGGAAACCGGAGAUUAUACGGGAUAAUAUAUUGAACCGUGUGGGUCAAUAGUGAAAUACGGCUUUGCUGUCACUUCUAGCUGGUUCUGCGCCGCAUUAGCUAGUUGGUAAGGUAACGGGUUAUCAAGGCAACCAUGCGUAGCCGACCUGAUAGGGUGAUCGGCCGCACUGGAGCUGGAACGCGGACCAUGCUACUACGGUAGGCAGCAGUAGGGAAUCUGCCGCAGUGGUCGAAAGCCUGACAGAACAACCCCGCGUGUGUUGUGAAGAUCUUCCGAUCGUAAAGCCCUGUUAUUAGUGAUGAACAAAUGUGUAAGUAACUAUACCCGUCUUGACGGUACCUGGUCAGAAAGCCACGGCUAACUACGUG
rnacentral:rRNA from 1 species